rnacentral:rRNA from 1 species
CCCUUAGAUGUUCUGGGCCGCACGCGCGCUACACUGACGAUGGCAACGAGUUUUUCCUUCGCCGAAAGGUGUGGGUAAUCUUUUGAAACAUCGUCGUGCUGGGGAUAGAUCAUUGCAAUUUUUGAUCUUGAACGAGGAAUUCCUAGUAAGCGCGAGUCAUCAGCUCGCGUUGAUUACGUCCCUGCCCUUUGUACACACCGCCCGUCGCUACUACCAAUUGAAUGGUUUAGUGAGGACUCCUGAUUGGCGCCGCCGCCCCGGCAACGGAGCAGCGGACUGCCGAAAAGUUGUUCAAACUUGAUCAUUUAGAGGAAGUAAAAGUCGUAACA